ensembl:misc_RNA Metazoa_SRP Metazoan signal recognition particle RNA
GCCGGGUAUAGUGGUGCAUACCUGUAAUCCCAGCUACUAAGGAGGCUGGGGCAGAAGAAUCGCUUGAACCCGGGAGAUGGAGGUUGCAGUGAGGCGAGAUCGUGCCACUGCACUCUAGCCCGGGCGACAGAGUGAGACUCUGUCUCAA